GAUGAAGAACGCAGCGAAAUGCGAUAAGUAAUGUGAAUUGCAGAAUUCAGUGAAUCAUCGAAUCUUUGAACGCACAUUGCGCCCGCCAGUAUUCUGGCGGGCAUGCCUGUUCGUGCGUCAUUACAACCCUCAGGCCCCCGGGCCUGGCGUUGGGGAUCGGCGGAGCCCCCCGUGGGCACACGCCGUCCCCCAAAUACAGUGGCGGUCCCGCCGCAGCUUCCAUCGCGUAGUAGCUAACACCUCGCGACUGGAGAGCGGCGCGGCCACGCCGUAAAACACCCAACUCUUCUGAAGUUGACCUCGAAUCAGGUAGGAAUACCCGCUGAACUUAAGCAUAUCAAUAAGCGGAGGA
rnacentral:misc_RNA from 1 species